AACUUGGAAGCUACAGGAAAAAGAGCAGCCGCAGGCAAGCUAGCACCGACCUGGGAAGGUCCAUUCAAGGUGACAAAAGUGGUUAAGCCCGGGGUAUACCGAAUUGAAGAUAUGCAAGGAAACCCCGAGCCCCACGCCUGGAACAUCCAGCACUUAAAAAGGUACUUCCCUUGAAAUAUAUGUAUAGAAAAAUAUUGUACUCUGAAAGGCACAAAUAAAUAAAAUAACGCCAUUCUUUACGCAUUUAUGUUAUCUCCAUUAAGAAUGUUACUUCUCUUUGAAAAAGAAAGAACAAAACUAGAAGACCGGGAUCCCCAAGAUCUCCCGGAUGCAAGACCAGGAUCCCCAAGAUCUCCUGGCGAAAGAAAACCUUACUGAGACAUAGAGACCUCGGUGAGGCAGAAGACCAGGAUCCCCAAGAUCUCCUGGCACUAAGAAAACCUCCUUGAGACAUAGAGACCUCCUG
rnacentral:lncRNA from 1 species